UACGGAGGGAGCUAGCGUUGUUCGGAAUUACUGGGCGUAAAGCGCACGUAGGCGGCUUUGUAAGUUAGAGGUGAAAGCCCGGGGCUCAACCCCGGAAUUGCCUUUAAGACUGCAUCGCUUGAAUCCGGGAGAGGUGAGUGGAAUUCCGAGUGUAGAGGUGAAAUUCGUAGAUAUUGGGAAGAACACCAGUGGCGAAGGCGGCUCACUGGCCCGUAACUGACGCUGAGGUGCGAAAGCGUGGGGAGCAAACAGG
rnacentral:rRNA from 1 species